rnacentral:rRNA from 1 species
UACAGAGGUCCCAAGCGUUGUUCGGAUUCACUGGGCGUAAAGGGUGCGUAGGUGGUGAGGUAAGUCGGAUGUGAAAGCUCGGAGCUCAACUCCGAAAUGGCAUUGGAAACUACCUUGCUCGAGGGUUGGAGGGGGGACUGGAAUGCUUGGUGUAGCAGUGAAAUGCGUAGAUAUCAAGCGGAACAUCAGUGGCGAAGGCGAGUCCCUGGACAACUCCUGACACUGAGGCACGAAAGCUAGGGGAGCAAACAGG